UGGCAACGGGGUCUGUUGCAAGGGAAGGUACUGGGAUAUAACCAAUUACCCUAGUAAGCAUUGCCUUACUAGCAUGCUUACUGGGGUAACCUGUUAACUAGUUACCCCUUUACAUCCCUACUAGGGAUGUUAAAAUGUGGGCUACUGAAAUUUAAGACAAAGUCUGUUUAGAUUUAAUUACAUGCCAAAGGCCUCCCUUAUUUAUCUGAUGCCUUUGGAACAUAAAAAUACAGUUAGCUAAUACUGGUUACUAUUGGCAAAUGAUAUUUAAAGUAAGGAUUAGAGUGAAUAUAGGGAAAAACAAGUUGGCGCUCUGAUGAACAGUGUCUUCUUUCUUUGUUCAACACAGGUCCAAAGGACUAUCAACAAUCAAAACUAUGCAAGAACAGUAGUGCUGGUCCUUGCCUAAAAACUUGUCUAUAUUAGCAAAUGUCCUGUUGCUGACAACAGGUGUCACCAACAAGUGAAACUAAACUGGUGUUGAACACAGUUUAGAAGCAAAUGCUUAAAGGACUAUGCCUUUUCACCCUCAGUUCAGAAAGUGAGGUAGGUUAUAGCCAGAGAUUAUGCGCAGAUUCUGAACUCUAUUCCUUGUCUACGCUUGCAGUUAAAUCGUGUUCAGCACCAUUUCUGUUGCACCCAUUUCUGACAGGCUAAUUUGGCUAUGAUAAUAAAAGUGCUCUAUUAUGAGACUUUAGUCUCCCUCACUCAGCAUGAAUGAAGGAUCUCUGCCAUUCAUUAAGAAAUAAAAACAUAAGAUACUAUUAAAUAGAACUAUUUCCCCUGUAGGUUUGCAGCCUAACCUGAAUAGAAAAAAGGUACUAAGUAACAAAAAGGAGAGUGACAGAAGGGAGUGACAAAGACAAAAGGAAAAUAAGUGAUUAGCUACUGCUGGCGUCCUGCCACUUUCCCACUGGAAGAACUCAAGCCUUCAUCUUUUCCCUCUUAACCCAGAUCACAUCUCCUGAAGGAAAAACUUGUAAGAGAUGAUAUGGAAUGGCAGAUAAACCAAGGGAAAACUCAGAGACUAUCCAGUUUGGCCAAUAUAGAUGGCGCGGCCCAACCUCCGAACACCCGCAGCAGUUGCUGGGGGAGCCUGAAACUGCCUCUCCUGAGCAGACACUACAGGGAGCUGAGAUCUGCAGCCUGCUACAUGGAGUUGGGGGGCCCACCCCAUAAGCCACAGCCUGGCCCAGCCUCCACCCAAAGACCACCCCAGGAACUGCAGACCCAGACUUCCUGAAAAAGAUUCCAAUGCUAGAAACCAAUCCAUACCCUCCCAUCACCACACCUCCAGGGCCUCAAGGAGAUGCCGGGGCUAAGCACUGCAGCACUGACCCAACACACACAAUCCCUUGCCCUGAGCUCCCUGCAAAACCAGGCUCUUACCCUGACUCCUGCAACCCCAUCCCCUGCCCCACACCCUAACUAUUGUACCAUGCACCAA